UAAGUGUGUGCAAGUAGGACAGCUGUAGGUGAAUGAGGAGUGGGGAUAACAAUACAUCAGGAAUCUGCUCACAUAACGCGCGUCUCUGAACUUACAGACAAGGACUAGUUUUAAGCUUGGAUCAAACGACUAUGGGUGCACUUCAAGCGCAAGCAAAAUUCUCACACUCCAAAACUGAGGGGUAUAAACCUUGGCUCUGCAACAAAAAAGAAAUAAAUAAGAAAACUGAGAAGAGCUUGAGCAGCCCAUCUGGAAACACCCGACUGCCAGGAGAGACUCUGAUGAUGCAAGAUGACCACCUUGUGUCUUGUAGUUUUUUGUGGUGGCGAUCUGUGCCACCACCACCUAAUC